UCGCUUAGCUGGACAGACAGGUACAAGAGUUUGCUUGUGGGAGAACAUCUGAGCAUAACGGUUACCCCUAAAAGUCCAUACGUUGACAAGAUUACACACUACAAUUAUGUGAUACUUCAGACUUUAGAUAAAGAUGAGCCUGGCUGUGGAAUAGGUGGUGGCAGCAAUAAUGCUGAAGUGUGCUACUGAGCAGGACUCACUGUCCUCACCAAUGGAGAUGCAGAUGGCGCCCAACAAGAUGAUGGAUCAUUUAAGAAAAUUCUCCAAUCAAGAAGAAAUUUGAAAGAGAAAAUUGAAAAUCUAGGUGGUUCAAAGAUUUUUGUUGUUUUCAGAGUUAUAAUGGAAUAACUCAGGAUCUGCUGCAUUCUAACCGAUUGAUGUAGGGCAGUUGAAAAAGAUCUGUGGGCACUUCCAACUUUUACUUUCCACAGGGGUAAAGCAGAAUGAUAAAUUAAUCACUAGUUAUUUAGCACAGUCUUGAUCUAAAGGAAAUAGGUUACCAGUAUGGCCUUUC
rnacentral:lncRNA from 1 species